rnacentral:rRNA from 1 species
CGCUAUGGGGGUAGGGCUAAGCCAUGGGCAGUCGUACGCCCUCGGGCUAAGAGGGCGUGGUGGACGGCUGAGUAACACGUGGCUAACCUACCCUCGGGGCCCGGAUAACUCCGGGAAACUGGAGCUAAUCCGGGACAGGCGAAGGGUACUGGAAUGUCCCUUCGCCUAAAGGGGCAUGGGCUAUUUCCCGCUCAUGCCCGCCCGAGGAUGGGGCUGCGGCCCAUCAGGCUGUUGGCGGGGUAACGGCCCGCCAAACCGAUAACGGGUAGGGGCCGUGAGAGCGGGAGCCCCCAGUUGGGCACUGAGACAAGGGCCCAGGCCCUACGGGGCGCACCAGGCGCGAAUCGUCCCCAAUGCGGGAAACCGUGAGGGCGCUACCCCCAGUGCUCCCGAAAGGGAGCUUUUCCCCGCUUUAAAACGGCGGGGGAAUAAACGGGGGGCAAGACUGGUGUCAGCCACCGCGGUAAUACCAGCCCCGCGAGUGGCCGGGACGCUUACUGGGCUUAAAGCGACCGUAGCCGGCCCCUGCAAGUCACUGCUUAAAGAUCCGGGCUCAACCCGGGGAAGGUGCAGUGAUACUGCAUGGCCUAGGGGGCGGGAAAGAGUCGGAAGUACUCCCGGAGUUAGAGGCGAAAUCCACAGAUCCCGGGAGGACCACCAGUGGCGAAAGCGUCCGGCCAGAACCGCGCCCGACGGUGAGGGCCGAAACCCGGGUAGCAAAAGGGAUUAGAUACCCCUGUAGUCCCGGCUGUAAACGAUGCAGGCUAGGUGUCGCGUAGGCUUUGAGCCUACGCGGUGCCGCAGGGAAACCGGUAAGCCUGCCGCCUGGGGAGUACGACCGCAAGGGUGAAACUUAAAGGAAUUGGCGGGGGAGCACCACAAGGGGUGGAACCUGCGGCUCAAUUGGAGUCAACGCCUUGGAAUCUCACCGGGGGAGACCGCAGGAUGACGUCCAGGCUAACGUCCUUGCCAGACUCGCGGAGAUGAGAUGCAUGACCGUCGACAGCUCGUGUUG